rnacentral:rRNA from 1 species
CUUUUUAAUGCGAAUCGAUCCGCUGCGGGCGUCCCCAUCGCGAAAGAAAAAUCUCCUUUCCCUUCUCCACGGCUGCACCUUCAUCCUCUCCCUCCCUUGCCGCAUCGACCCCCCUGUCCCGCACUCCCUCUCGCCGGCCGGCGGCAGCUCUGGCCGGCAGGGCGAAGCCACCGGAAUCAUGGCCAAGUCUGGUGCCCGUAAGGAGGCGGCACCCGCCCGGUCAACGGCGACCUCGCCGCCGCCGCAGCGCGUCCCCGGCGCCCCGGCAGGCUCGUGCGCCAGCCGGUUGCCACAGCCGCUCUUCUACACCGGCGCUCCGACUCGCUCGUCCACCAGUCCGUCGACACCGCCGCACCUGUACCUCCCUCUCAUGGAAUAAUCUACUGCAAACCCUAUAUGGUUUGCUGGUGGCAGUAAAGAUCUAUGCAGAUUCCAACCAAAAAAAAAGACUGUUGUUGUGUACUCGAGUUGUGUGCUCAAUGUUUGAUGUAUAAGUGUGAGAUUUACUAUGGCUGUUCAGUUAAUGAUGUGUCUAUCUUGUAACAAAAUUACCUAGCAUAAUGCGGUUGGAACAUUUGCCUUAACUAAUGUAUGUGUUGUUGAAGCGAUGCAUGCAUUACUGCAAGUGAAUUCUGAUACUAGUAGACUAUAUUAAAAUUA